GCUGGGUGUGGUGGCACAUGCCUGUAAUCCCAGUGGCUUUAGAGGCUGAGGCAGGAGGAUUGCAAGUUCAAAGCCAGCCUCCACAAUCAAGAGGCACUAAGCAACUCAGUGAGACCCUGUCUCUA
rnacentral:sRNA from 1 species